AUGGCCCUGAAUCAAGGCUGGCAGCUUGUGGCUGUGAGUUUCAAACAGGAGCCUAUAGAAAUUCUUCCUAUGGUCUGUUGGUUGUGCUAAUAUACUUAAGGCUCAGCCUAUUCAGAUGGAAGAAACAAAA